rnacentral:misc_RNA from 1 species
GUAAUUUUUUUUUUCUCAAGAUACUCAGAAUACUAGUAGUAUAUAGACUUUUUGCUUGCUUGCCUGGCGGCCACCUGUAGUGAACUGCUCCCCCAGAGCAGACACGCCAGAGCAAGGUUUAGGUAUAUUCACAGUGGUUUAAAAGUCUUCCCGAAGAAGUCUUUUUUUAAUGAUCCCUCCGCUGGUUCACCAACGGAGA